GAUGAACGCUAGCGGGAGGCUUAACACAUGCAAGUCGAGGGGCAGCAUAGAGUAGCAAUACUUUGAUGGCGACCGGCGCACGGGUGAGUAACGCGUAUGUAACCUACCCUGUACAGGGGGAUAGCCCGGAGAAAUUCGGAUUAAUACCCCAUAAUGAUAUCGAGAGGCAUCUUUUGAUAUUUAAAGCUUCGGCGGUACGGGAUGGGCAUGCGUGACAUUAGCUAGUUGGUAAGGUAACGGCUCACCAAGGCUGCGAUGUCUAGGGGUCCUGAGAGGGUGAUCCCCCACACUGGUACUGAGACACGGACCAGUCUCCUACGGGAGGCAGCAGUGAGGAAUAUUGGUCAAUGGGCGUAAGCCUGAACCAGCCAUCCCGCGUGAAGGAAGAAGGCGCUAUGCGUCGUAAACUUCUUUUCCAGAGGAAUAAAAUUUUGUACGCGUACAGAACUGAAGGUACUCUGGGAAUAAGCAUCGGCUAACUCCGUGCCAGCCGCCGCGGUAAAAC
rnacentral:rRNA from 1 species